ACAAGCCUGAGAAACGGCUAGUAGGACUAAGGUCUGCAGCAGGCGCGAAACUUACACAAUGCUAGAUUAAAAUUAGCGAUGUAGUGAAGAAAAAUAACGAUGUACUUCCAUUUAAACAUGGUAGUACAAUUGGAAUGAGACGACUACAGAUCAGUUAGUCGAGUAACAAAUGGAGGGCAAGUCUGGUGCCAGCAGCCGCGGUAAUUCCAGCUCCAUUAGCAUACAUUAAAGUUGUUGCGGUUAAAAAGCUCGUAGUUGAAUUUUUAGCGGGCUCUAUUGGGGUGCGUCCGUUAAGCAUAUUUAUUUAUGUGGGCGUAUUUCCCCGUUAGGAACCCGCUGUUUCGUCACUUAAUCGAGUGCGAAGCGGGCCGAUAUAGAUGUUGGAGAAUUUACUUCUUUCGUAUAUGUCGGCAUGUUUACCUUGAGAAAAUUAGAGUGCUCACAGCAGGCAGUUGGGGUGUAAAAGCUCCUUUAAUGCUUGAAUAAUGUUGCAUGGAAUAAUAGAAUACGGCCUCGGUUCUAUUCUGUUGGUCUUAUAGAACAACAAACAAGUUGGUUGUUUAAGUUUACUUGUUGUCGGGCGGGUUAUACCCCCGUACCUUUAAACUGAACCAACUGAGGCAAUGGUUAAAAGAAAUAGUCGCGGCGGCAUCAGUACUGCAUCGUUAGAG
rnacentral:rRNA from 1 species